GAGUUAGCAAUCGCAUUUCUUCUCAUGUCAAAUUACUCAACAUCCAAAUCGUUGAACUCAUUAAAUGUGUUAUCACUUACUCUGAUGCACAGGCAGGAAGGAAUCCCACCCUUAGUCAGUCUGACUCAUGAUUUGUGUCAACCACCCCCCUUUCCUCCUCCCUUACUGCAGUGCAGUCAACUGGUGGACUCCUUGGCCCAGAGGGCUUCGAUCAGAGCUCCGGUUGCAGGCCAGGCUCGGGCAGGCAGCGCCCCAGUCGGGAGGGCCCAGACUGGGGGACGACAGGAGAAACUUCCCCCACCUCGACCCACCAUCCUCACACUCACACGGCUGUCGAACAGGGAUAAGGGACCAGACAGAGGCUCCCUACAGAGAACAAUAACAUGGCGGCCGACCAGUGCAAAAGCUGUUAUACCCCCAGCAAAACCAGUGAAUGGCUGGAAGCCAGCGGAAAAUGACCUCAGGCGAAAGAAAAUCAAAACGUCUCAAUCAUGUUUUUUCUUAGAGGAUGGCAGCAUGGGUAAGAAGGUUUGUGGCAAUUAGCACACAUUGUUGUGUUGAUUUUCCUAUUUGUGUCCUUUAUUUUAUCGGUUUUGUUUUUUGACAAUAGGGAUGGUUUUCAAGGCAUACCCAAAAGCAAGAAGCAUUCGAAACGGGAUCACUACAGUGAAGCUACCAAAGCGGGAAGAGAUUUGCUCAACCAAACAGGUCUGGUGAUCUCCUCUGACUAAGUGCUCCUUCUCCCUCUCCCUCUUCCUCUCCCUCCUUCUCCCUCUCUCUCGCCCUCUCUGUCCUUCUCCCUCUCUCUCUCUCUCUCUCUCUCUCUCAUUACCUCGCUACCCCAUCACUAAACACAUGAGUUGGAGGGCCUUUAGAGCCACUGACAACAAGACUAAGAGGGUGCUCUCGCCCACUAAGACUGAACAGUUAGGGUUUUGC
ensembl:lncRNA